ACGGCAGGAGACCGAGGGUCGCCCCGCGGGGGAAUGGAGGAAACCAGGCGAGAAAGGAGCGGGAAGACCUUGGAGCCGCGGUGUUCGGGCUCCGCGUCCCUUUUCCCCAAAAAUCCACCCCCGCCCCCCGCAGACGGAAAGUCACGCAGUUGUUUGAGACUCGCGCAUCUUUCCUCCUGGUCAGGGGGAUGGCAGUAGGAGCUUCGUCUGGGUCGUCAUGAGGAAUGCAGAGAAUGGAAACGGGACCUUAGAGGACUACCCCCAUUUCACAGUUGAAGUAAAACUGGCCCAGAGAGUGGAAGAACCGCGAAAAAUUACCACAGCUGGGCAGCCUCUGAAAGAGCAGGUCGCUCCCGUUCUUAAUCCACACAAAACUUAAUCGGACCCUUGCAGAUCCUUGUAAACCCAUGCCAGCCGGGCACGGUGGCUUCCCCUGUAAUCCCAGCACUUUGG
rnacentral:lncRNA from 1 species